rnacentral:sRNA from 1 species
UUUUUUUUUGAUUUUGAUGUGCGCGCUUAGAGCUGAGCGUAUCCGUCGUCGCGGAAAUUCGGGUUCAGGAAACCAACACAAGGCUUGUCACGCUUAGCCAUGUUGAUCUGCCAAAGAGGAUUAGUGACGUUGGUAAGUUGGGUUUAGGGACUGGGUGGGUCGUUUUCAUGCUAGGCGAUGAGCUCGGCUUUAGAUCUCAAUGAGUUGAGCAGAUCGAGGCUUGUGGAGAGAUCGACAUAGGGAGAAGCGAGCUCGUCAUAGAAGAAGUUUGGUUUGCAGAUUACUUUGAUCACCGUGAGCUAUCCUUUGCGACAAUUCCGUUAAGUGUGGAGCUCGGCUUAGAGUAUGCUCGACGAGUUGGCGAGAUUCGUUUGGGAGGCGAGCUUGAGGAGCCGGAAGCGGAGCUCGGCGAAGAUGAUGUGCGGUCUAGCGAGGUUGAGAGAUUCGUUCCACCUUCAGUUAUCGCGGAUUUAAUGCGGAUCUCAAUGGAUUGGAUCUUAGCGACCGUGAGGGAGAGUUUAGCGAGUAUGGCGGACUGGGUUGUCUCAUGGUGGGGAACGGGUUUGACAAUUUGGUUGUGAAUAACUGAGACAAGGGUGCACAUAGUGAACAUGAGAAAGAGCUUGGUCGUAUGAUUAAGGAGCGACGUGUUGGCGAGUGUUAGGAGAUUUGUGUUGUGGAGAUACUUUCUUAGGAAAAUUGGCUAACUUUUUCCCUCUUUCUUUUGAGAGGUUUGGCCAUGCGAUAUUGCCUAUUGUCGUUGCUCCAAUGAGUUUGGUACUUCAGAGAUUUUUGUGUUUUGCGCCUUGUCGACAAGACUUCUUCUCUGGUCGGUGAGACCUUUUGACAGGUUUUAUGCUAUUACUUCCCAAGGUCAGAGCAACUUCAAGUCGUCGGGUCGACUAGUUGGUCGAGUCGGCAAGGCCUCCUGCACCUGAUUGGUGUGGUUUCCUUCACCUGGUCGGCAAUUUUAUUCACUUGGUCGGCUUGACUUCUUCUAAAGUUGGCAUUGCUUCUUCAUCGGGUCGGCGAGCUAGACAAGUUGGACGAGUUGUGCAGUUAAGCGAUGAAUCGACAGCUACACGACGAGUUAGAUGAGCUAUAGAGUCAAGGGACGAGCCGACAUUUAAACGAGGAGAUGGACGAGCUGUGGAGUCAAGGGAUGACCUGACAUGUAUGCGAGGAGAUAGUUUCUCAGGAGAUGUGAAGAGCUUGGAGACGAGCUAAGAGACUUAAGGACGAGUUGAGAAGCUUGAAGACGAGCUCGAUGUGGUAGUUGGACGAGGUGUUGUCAGUUGACGAGCAAGAACUGUCGGGUUGACAAUUUAACAGUCGACAAGCAGGAACUGUAGGAUUGAUGAGCUCACAGUUGAGAGCAGGAAUUCUCGGGUUGACGGCUUUCAAAUUGACGAGCGUUUGACGAGCAGGAACGGAUGGAUAAACGAGAAGAAAUGUCAAAUUGACGAGAUCAGCGUUGCGAGCAGGUAUAUCGGAUUGAUGAGCUAAUAGUUGACGAUAGAGAACUUUCGGAUUGAUAAGACGGAACUGUCAGAUUGAUGAGGUGAUAGUUGACGACCACAUAGUCUUAUUGAUGAUAUAACUGUGAGGUGGACAGGAUUCUCAUGACGUUGAAGCUCCGCAGUUAGGCCGUUUUGAGAUGAGCUGGCGGUUAGGCGAACUAAGUAGCUAGGCGACGAGCUAUCAGUUAGGCGACGAGCUAGUUGGUAAGUGACGAGCUGGCUGCUAGGAGACUAGCUAUCAGUUGGACAACGAGCUGGCUACUUGGCGACGAGCUAGCUUCUAGGCGUUGAGUUGACCGCUAGGCGACGAGCUUGAUGCCAUGCGACAAACUGGCGGCUAGGCAACGAGCUGGACGAAGAAGAUGGUGGCUAUCGAGUCGGGUCGAGGUCGGUUAAGACGAGUUUGUCAAGUUAAGUCCUCUUGGUUGCAGUUUUAUUGAGAUUGGAAUAGUCAGUCUUGGCAGCCUUUGAAGGAAGAUAGCAGGUGCAGGUGAGUAACCGGGUCGGCUUGAGGGGUAUGCUUGAUUCCCUACUCUUUCAACGGUUAUGUUGAGGUGCUCGGCCGUCUUUGCAUCAUGUUGGUUGAUUCAGUUGAAGAAAGGUCUAACUUUGGUGCUGAGCAGAGUUAUAUCCUUCAUAGUAGUUUGUAAUUUUUAGAGCUCACGAUCGCUCGCACCGAUAUAGUGGUCUUCUAUUCGGUAUGUUCGAGUGUCGAUGUUCGGCCGGUUGUCACGGUUCAGCGCAUUUUCACGGGUGUGCUCGUCGAUGGACCCAACAACGAUAGAAGCAGGCCUAUUGCGUCGGUUCACCGGUCUUUCCAUGAAAAGAGUUACUGGGGCGGGACUGUUUUGUCAUCGCUGAGCUGUCGACCGGCGCGAGCUGCGGAGGACUGGAGUUGCUCGAUCUGAUUCUACGAUGCCUUCUGGGCAGCGACAAUCACGUUGAUGCGUUCGGUAGUUCUUGUGUUCUGUAAGUCGAGUCGGUCGAGGAAAGAUCGGAUGACUUCGUCAAGAUUGGUUCUUCGUGAAGUUGUUUCUCCGAGUUCGGCAGGAGCUGCGACAGGAGCUGCGGCUGGAACUGCGACAUGAGCUGCGGCUGGAACUGCGACAGGAGCUCCGGCUGGAGGUGGCGUCGUUGGCCAAACUGGUGGUGGCGUCGUUGGCCGAGCUGGUGGUGGCGUCGUUGGCCGAGCUGGUGGUGCGGCACGAGGCGCGAUGGUUCUGACUCCUUGUUCGUUCGAGGUUUCCGUCAUCUCGUCGUGGCUCUCCGGGAUUACUGGCAACAUCGUAGCUGCUCGUCAAUAUCAGAAGAAAACUCUGCCUAGCCCCACGGUGGGCGCCAAUUGUUUGUACCGAGGUUGUAACAAUAAUUAUUAAGGGGUUUGGGGAGAACGGAGUAGCUUCUUUAUUAAUGACGAACGAAAAGACAAUAAUUAACAGAACGGAAAACCGUAAGUACAGAACGGAGAACCGAAAGUACAGGUCGGAAAAUCGAUAUUAAUGGUCGGAAAACCAGAAAAUACAGAACGGAAAACCAGAAAAUAAGAGAUAAAGAGGUAGGCAGCAAUUCUCUCUUAAAUCCUCUGAGUGGUGACUUAGGUUCUGGAUCCCUCUUCUUAGUAGUGUCUCCUCUUAUUUAUAGGCAAGAAGCUGAUCUAGGGUUCUCUUAGUCUCUCUAGCGAUUUCUCCGUUUUGCCCUUCUGAAUUUAUCGGGCUGGGCCAAACCGUGAUGGGCCGAGCUGUGAUGGGCCGAGCAGUCAUUCUGAUGGGCCGUUGUUCUGAUGGGCCGUUCUUCCUUGUUAGUAGCUUUCUUGACUUGUUCUAUUUGUGUUUGGGCCGAAUUGGGCAUGGAGGGCAAAGCCCGUAUCCCACAAUCUCAUUGGCGGUCCGACACUUCACCUAGAACAUGACAGAGAAAUCGACUCGAUGUACAUUGAGGGUAU